rnacentral:rRNA from 1 species
UACGAAGGGUGCAAGCGUUACUCGGAAUUACUGGGCGUAAAGCGUGCGUAGGCGGUUUGUUAAGUCUGUCGUGAAAGCCCCGGGCUCAACCUGGGAAUGGCGAUGGAUACUGGCAGGCUAGAGUACGGUAGAGGAUGGUGGAAUUCCCGGUGUAGCAGUGAAAUGCGUAGAGAUCGGGAGGAACAUCUAUGGCGAAGGCAGCCAUCUGGACCAGUACUGACGCUGAGGCACGAAAGCGUGGGGAGCAAACAGG